AUGCAAGUGUUCUUUCCAUGUUGGUGUGCGUACUUCCAGUUUCGGUGUCGCCUGUGUCAAUUUAUGUUAGCAGUGUGUAUUUUCCCACGAACAUGGCAGUACACAUUCCAAAUUUUGGAAUUUGGUUGUGAACAUGACAUUCAUAUGCAUAGCAUAGUUUCAGUGCAUUUUGGAAUUAAUUUGGCUACUUUGGAAAACCUAAUUAAUUUUGAGAUUUAUUUAAUAGCUACAUUAAAACCUCUUGCACAAAAAUUAAUUUUCAAAACUGCGUCAGGGGCUGGAAAUAUUUUUCAUAUGAUAUAUGUGAGCCCUAGUGUUUUCUUGAAUUUUAUGGGAUCCAAAGAAAUUGAACUGGAAUGA
rnacentral:rRNA from 1 species